GCGCCCGUAGCUCAGCUGGAUAGAGUGUCUGACUACGAAUCAGAAGGCCUCAGGUUCGAAUCCUGACGGGCGCGCCA
rnacentral:tRNA from 1 species